ACGGGUGAGUAACACGUGGUCAACCUUCCCUAGUGUGGGGGGAGUAACUAGCCGAAAGGUUAGCUAAUACCGCAUAACAUCUACGAGUGGCAUCAUUUGUAGAUCAAAGGAGCAAUCCGCACAAGGACGGGACCGCGUCCCAUUAGUUAGUUGGUGGGGUAACGGCCUACCAAGACUCCGAUGGGUAGCUGGUUUGAGAGAGCGACCAGCCACACUGGGACUGAGAAACGGCCCAG
rnacentral:rRNA from 1 species